GAGGGAUGGCUGAGCGGUUGAAAGCACCGGUCUUGAAAACCGGCGUGCCGAAAGGCAUCGGGGGUUCGAAUCCCUCUCCCUCC
rnacentral:tRNA from 1 species